AACAGCGGGGUCAAGUCAGAGCCCUUUCUGUCUACUCCCACUGUGGGAGAUCAGCCUGCAUUGCCAGCGCUGAGAAUGAGGCCCUUGAGAUGAUGCUGCUGGAUCUGUGAGCAUGUAUAGUGUUCCCAGUGCCGAACUCAGCACCACAGGUGAGAACAAGAAGGGGCAAUUAUAUAAAAGUAACAGAAGCUUCAGGGAGUAUCCAGGUGAGCGGUGAGUAACAUAACUUGCCAUCCCCCAAGGAUUCUAACCACAGGUGGAAAAUGCCAUUCAUCAGCCCAGCGUUUUCCAGUCUCCAUCUGCUGGCAUCUGGGAAUCCAAACUCCCAGAUGGCUGGAUACCCUGUGGCCUCUCACCCAGGCAGCAGCAGCAGCAGAUGUCCAUCUGGACAGGGAGGAACAGCUGACCAGUUUGUCCACAGGACAGACUUUUGCUCAUCUUGCCAAGCAGAUGAUCAGAUCCUGCUCUCUGAAGGUUGAAAACACAUAGGCUGAAAACUC
rnacentral:lncRNA from 1 species